AGUGAACGCUGGCGGUAGGCCUAACACAUGCAAGUCGAACGGCAGCACAGUAAGCGCUUGCUCUUACGGGUGGCGAGUGGCGGACGGGUGAGGAAUACAUCGGCAUCUACUUUUUCGUGGGGGAUAACGUAGGGACACUUACGCUACUACCGCAUACGACCUACGGGUGAAAGCAGGGGAUCUUCGGACCUUGCGCGAUUGAAUGAGCCGAUGUCGGAUUAGCUAGUUGGCGGGGUAAAGGCCCACCAAGGCGACGAUCCGUAGCUGGUCUGAGAGGAUGAUCAGCCACACUGGAACUGAGACACGGUCCAGACUCCUACGGGAGGCAGCAGUGGGGAAUAUUGGACAAUGGGCGCAAGCCUGAUCCAGCCAUACCGCGUGGGUGAAGAAGGCCUUCGGGUUGUAAAGCCCUUUUGUUGGGAAAGAAAAGCAGCAGGUUAAUACCCCGCUGUUCUGACGGUACCCAAAGAAUAAGCACCGGCUAACUUCGUG
rnacentral:rRNA from 1 species